rnacentral:rRNA from 1 species
AUUGAACGCUGGCGGCAUGCCUUACACAUGCAAGUCGAACGGUAACGGGCCUUCGGGUGCCGACGAGUGGCGAACGGGUGAGUAAUACAUCGGAACGUGCCCGAUCGUGGGGGAUAACGAGGCGAAAGCUUUGCUAAUACCGCAUACGAUCUACGGAUGAAAGCAGGGGACCGCAAGGCCUUGCGCGGACGGAGCGGCCGAUGGCGGAUUAGGUAGUUGGUGGGAUAAAAGCUUACCAAGCCGACGAUCUGUAGCUGGUCUGAGAGGAUGAUCAGCCACACUGGGACUGAGACACGGCCCAGACUCCUACGGGAGGCAGCAGUGGGGAAUUUUGGACAAUGGGCGCAAGCCUGAUCCAGCCAUGCCGCGUGCAGGAUGAAGGCCUUCGGGUUGUAAACGGCUUUUGUACGGAACGAAAAGCCUUCUUUUAAUACAGGAGGGUCAUGACGGUACCGUAAGAAUAAGCACCGGCUAACUACG